rnacentral:rRNA from 1 species
AUUGAACGCUGGCGGCAUGCCUUACACAUGCAAGUCGAACGGUAGGGGGAGCAAUCCCCUGAGAGUGGCGAACGGGUGAGUAAUACAUCGGAACGUACCUGGUAGUGGGGGAUAGCCCGGCGAAAGCCGGAUUAAUACCGCAUAAGACCUGAGGGUGAAAGCGGGGGACUCGCAAGGGCCUCGCGCUACCGGAGCGGCCGAUGUCAGAUUAGCUAGUUGGUGGGGUAAAAGCCUACCAAGGCGACGAUCUGUAGCUGGUCUGAGAGGACGACCAGCCACACUGGGACUGAGACACGGCCCAGACUCCUACGGGAGGCAGCAGUGGGGAAUUUUGGACAAUGGGCGCAAGCCUGAUCCAGCCAUGCCGCGUGCGGGAAGAAGGCCUCGGUGUAACG